rnacentral:pre_miRNA from 14 species
AUUCGGGGUUCCGGGGGGUCACGCUCCGAUCUCGGUGGGACCUCCAAAUGAAAGAGCAUAAACGGGGAGCCGUGUCUCUCGCUCCAAUCGCGGGGUGAGGUGUCCCCAGGAAUCACAAGUAGCCGG